rnacentral:rRNA from 1 species
CACGCCGUAAACGAUGUCAACUAGAUGUUGGGAGGGUUAAACCUUCUAGUGUCGCAGCUAACGCGCUAAGUUGACCGCCUGGGGAGUACGGCCGCAAGGUUAAAACUCAAAGGAAUUGACGGGGGCCCGCACAAGCGGUGGAGUAUGUGGUUUAAUUCGAUGCAACGCGAAAAACCUUACCUGCCCUUGACAUGCCAGGAAUCCUGCAGAGAUGUGGGAGUGCCUUCGGGAACCUGGACACAGGUGC